ACGGCACCCACCACUUAGGCUCACCACUCUCUGGUCAGGAGGAGUCACAUGGCCCCCUUCAACCACAAUGUUGAGGAGGGAGUAGGAAAUGUGGUCCUACAUGUGUUGGGAGGUGGUAUUACAAGAGUGCACAGGUCCUUGUCCAAAUGUGGAUAUGUGGCCACUCUGUGUGGAGAGCUACUCACCCUCCAAGCUGCCCAAUGAAAGCCGAACGGCCAAAAGUUUUGAUGGGCAAAUGGACACUUCUCAGUUGCUCCGAGAGAGAAAAUCGGUGAGGGAAUGGAGUCAUGACGGGGCGCCGAAUAUAAUCAUCAGACCAGAUAUGAAGAACCUACCUUGUGGCAGUUGGCACCACGGUUAACGGCAGCGUCAUGGAGGGAUUUAGACUGUAGCCUCUGGAGCCAGACUUGUCCGGGUUCAAACCCCCAGCUCUGUGUCACGGACUCUAAUGUCCGAUCCUGGGUAGGUUACCUGAACUUCCUGUGUCUCAUUUUCCCCCCAUCUGUAAAAUGAGACGGUACCUGUUUUGAAGGGUUAUUGGAGGCUUGGCUGAGUCGAUGAGCUCAUUCAGAACAGCUCCUGGUACUUACUACGUAUGAACAACUGUCAAUCACAGCCUAAGACGCUUAUUGUACUUCCUUAUGCAUAUUUAUUGUCAAAAGAGUUCAUUAGGAAUAACUGAUAGUAACUAUUCUUAGUACCAGCAAUAUGCGGACCAGCUACCCAUUCAAUGCUGAGUUUAAUAACUCAAGCUGCCUAGUUUUAUCGUCGGAUGGAUAAGAUAGUUUUACAGAGUGGGGCGCCUGGGUGGCUCAGCCCGUUGAGCAUCUGGCUCCUGAUUUUGGCUCAGGUCAUGAUCUCAGGGUUCUGGGAUCGAGCCCUGCAUCUGGCUCCGCGCUGAGUGUGGAGCCUGCUUGAGUUUCUCUCUCUUUCUUGCUCUGCCCCUCCCACACGUGCAUAUGCGUUCUCUCUCUCUCUCUCUCUCUCUCUCUCUCUCUCUCUCUCACUCUUACAGGCGAGCCCUGACUAAAACUGGCGUUUGAAGUCGGCUUGCAAGAUACUUGUGGAAGUGUGAAGUCUUAAAUCUUAAACCAGCAAAGUUUUGAAUAUAGAUACGCAAUUCUUCAUAAUACAUUUAAUCAUCAGCAUGACUGAGGUUAAAACACAGGAAAAGAUUAAAUAAAGAACCAGAUUCCAGACUAUAUCUUUCCGUA
rnacentral:lncRNA from 1 species